rnacentral:rRNA from 1 species
UACGAAGGGGGUUAGCGUUGCUCGGAAUCACGUGGGCGUAAAGGGUGCGUAGGCGGGUCUUUUAAGUAGGGGUGAAAUCCUGGAGCUCAACUCCAGAACUGCCUUUGAUACUGAAGAUCUUGAGUUCGGGAGAGGUGAGUGGAACUGCGAGUGUAGAGGUGAAAUUCGUAGAUAUUCGCAAGAACACCAGUGGCGAAGGCGGCUCACUGGCCCGAUACUGACGCUGAGGCACGAAAGCGUGGGGAGCAAACAGG